ACAUCUUUACUAUAUAAUAAGAGUUCUGUACAAAAUAAAUAAUUACAUUAUAAGGAGACAACGGUCCAGCAACCCAAAGUUGACUGGGAGACGACGACCUAGAUCUCUCACGAACACGUCGCAGCAUCCUCCAUGCGCCUCAUCCUGUGGUAUCUGUUCUUGACCUGUGGGGGGUGUGAGACAGCAAGAGUGAGCUCACAUACGUUCAUCGCUCAACAAGUUGUGGGGAAUAAUGUGCAUGAACUCGCCAAAGGUGGGAGCUCACGUGAAGUGUAAGGCUUACCAAAGAGGAUGGUUAGAGCUGAGCAUUGCUUUUAAGGUUGGUCAAAAUUUUAUUAGCAAUUAUUAAGUAUAAGUAAAUACCAACCCAAUUAAGUAGUAGAUCAAAAGUAACAACAUCACCUGCGAUGCAAUGCAUAUGACAAAUUGAAUUUAGUUCCAUAAAUUAAUCAUCAGAGAGUCCUGAGCUGCUCAUGACCGCGAGCUCGGCUAGUAUACCAGUUUUACACUCUGCAGAGGUGGUACCCUUUACCCACAAGUCAUGUUACCCAUCUGCCAAGGGAUCGCGACUUCCCAUACACCAAUACCGAGGAGGCGAGGCAGGGUAACACUACGAGGCCUUUACAAAGUUCCACUAGCUUCAGAAAACCCGCUACAGUUUAUGGGAAGCUCCAAUGCAGGAAUCCCUUGCAGGACCGCCAUUGCAGCAAAAUCCUCCCGAGGGCCUCCCUACACUGACCACUCCCCUACUGCCCUUGCCCCUUUCGGGUAAGGUAGUCCUCCACUAGCUUUCCUAAUUAAUCAGCCAAGGGCGUCCAUAAACCCUUGUGGUGGCACGUGUUUCUCAAGUUAAGCUCUAUGUUCCAAUUAACAUUAAUGAUCUUGACAUGAACAGUAAAUAACAACGGAUAACAAAAGUAUAAUCAUGAAUAAUGUGUAUCUCAAUGCCCAAAACCACAUAUAGCACUAGCAAGUACUACCCAAAUGAUUCAGGGGUAAACAAGGUAAUGAGAUAAACAAUCUAGGGUAACCUAUUAGGUCCCAUCAAAAUUAACCUAUGCAGAUCAUUAUGAUUAAUUAGAACAUGAGUGGGUAAAAGAAGUGAUCAAGGGCACAACUUGCCUGGGACUUGAGAUUCCAGGUAUCAGGAUGAUCUUCAGGUGACACGUGUCCUCACUGCUAAACGUAGCAAUACAGACAAACAUGGUAUAUACAAAAUUAACAUCACACCAAACAUAAGAAUAAACUACGUAAUAAUAAUCUACGCGUUGCUACGAGAUCGUAGGAACAAGAAUCACUAAAUUCGGAGCUACGGUUAUUAAGUUAUGAAUUUCCUAAGGUUUUAUGUAUUUGAUACGGGAUUAAUUAAGAGAUAAAUUUUAAUACCAUUUUCAUGUCAAAACAGAGACACUAAGUGGUAGAGAAUAAAAUUAUAAAAUUUUAGAAAGUGGAAUGGAUUAAUUUGGAGUAAAAAUGGAAUUUCUAUGAGUUUUACAAGUUCUAGGAUUUAUUUAUCUAUUAAUAAUCCAUUUAUAGAUUAUUUUCUCUGGUUUUAUAAUGUUCUGGACUGGGCCUCGAUUUCCAGAAAGGUCAGGGGCUGCGCGAAUAAAAUCCUAGACUCAGUGAACAGUGUAUGUGGACGGCGGGUUUAUUGCCUACUUCACCAGGGGCCUCUUAAGGAAAUGUGCCAGGGCCGAAGGGGUAUCAUCUAAUCUGAACCGUUCGAUUGGGUGUGGACGCGCGAGAUUAGAUCUAGCCUUUCCCGAACCGGUACGCGACUGCGGCCGUUGGAUCCCAAAUCAACGCACCCGAUAUAAAACACCAAGGUCUAAUCCUAUCCGUGCAAUCCCCGAUCGACGGUCACAACUCCAUGUGGCGAAGGGGUACGCACAGUUUUAAUCACACCCGUUGAUCACUGAUCUUACGGUGCCCAACUCCCUUCCCCGCCGUGACACCAGACACCACGGUGUCCGCGGUGGCGCCCUGAACCGCGGCGGCGGCAUCACCGGCGUUCUCUCAACCCCACAAAGGCAGCCGGACGCGGCAGGCCCCUGCCCGUACCGGCACCGCCCACCGGAAUUCUUCCCCCCCCCCCCGCGCCCAAUCGCCCAAAUACUGCUUCGACGAAAGCUACGCAAAGCAUUAAUGACGGCAAACUUGGCUCUAGCAUCUUACCAGCGAUGAUGUCGCAGAGAAACCGGCUACGGAGCGAGCAGGCGCUACGGCG
rnacentral:lncRNA from 1 species